ensembl:piRNA 21ur-8461 ncRNA
UCUCUCGAUCGUAAACAUUAC